GAUGAACGCUGGCGGCAUGCCUUACACAUGCAAGUCGAACGGCAGCGGGGGAGAAGCUUGCUUUUCCUGCCGGCGAGUGGCGAACGGGUGAGUAAUACAUCGGAACGUGCCCUGUAGUGGGGGAUAACUAGUCGAAAGAUUAGCUAAUACCGCAUACGACCUGAGGGUGAAAGUGGGGGACCGCAAGGCCUCAUGCUAUAGGAGCGGCCGAUGUCUGAUUAGCUAGUUGGUGGGGUAAAGGCCUACCAAGGCGACGAUCAGUAGCUGGUCUGAGAGGACGAUCAGCCACACUGGGACUGAGACACGGCCCAGACUCCUACGGGAGGCAGCAGUGGGGAAUUUUGGACAAUGGGCGAAAGCCUGAUCCAGCAAUGCCGCGUGUGUGAAGAAGGCCUUCGGGUUGUAAGGCACUUUUGUCCGGAAAGAAAUGGCUCUGGUUAAUACCUGGGGUCGAUGACGGUACCGGAAGAAUAAGGACCGGCUAACUACGUGCCAGCCGCCGCAGUAA
rnacentral:rRNA from 1 species